AGCAGCCACGGUAAUUCCAGCUCCAAUAGCGUAUAUUAAAGUUGUUGCAGUUAAAAAGCUCGUAGUUGAAUUUCGGGAUCAAUACGUCGGUCGUGCUUCGGUACGUACUGGCGUCAUUGAUUUCUCCCUUCUGACGAACCAUGAUGUCAUUAACUUGGUGUCAUGGGAAAUCAGGACUGUUACUUUGAAAAAAUUAGAGUGUUUAAAGCAGGCUCACGCUUGAAUACAUUAGCAUGGAAUAAUGAAAUAGGACGUUCGAUCCUAUUUUGUUGGUUUUUAGGAUCAACGUAAUGAUUAAUAGGGAUAGUUGGGGGCAUUAGUAUUCAAUUGUCAGAGGUGAAAUUCCUGGAUUUAUUGAAGACUAACUACUGCGAAAGCAUUUGCCAAGGAUGUUUUCAUUAAUCAAGAACGAAAGUUAGGGGAUCGAAGACGAUCAGAUACCGUCGUAGUCUUAACCAUAAACUAUGCCGACUAGGGAUCGGAUGAUGUUAAUUUUUUAAUGACUCAUUCGGCGCCUUAC
rnacentral:misc_RNA from 1 species